rnacentral:rRNA from 1 species
AUUGAACGCUGGCGGCAUGCCUAACACAUGCAAGUCGAACGGCAGCGGUAUCUAGCUUGCUAGAUAGCCGGCGAGUGGCGAACGGGUGAGUAAUGCGUAGGAAUAUACCUUAAAGAGGGGGAUAACCUGGGGAAACUCAGGCUAAUACCGCGUACGCUCUGAGGAGUAAAGCUGGGGACCUUCGGGCCUGGCGCUUUAAGAAUAGCCUGCGUCCGAUUAGCUAGUUGGUGAGGUAAAGGCUCACCAAGGCGACGAUCGGUAGCUGGUCUGAGAGGAUGAACAGCCACACUGGGACUGAGACACGGCCCAGACUCCUACGGGAGGCAGCAGUCGGGAAUAUUGGACAAUGGGGGCAACCCUGAUCCAGCAAUACCGCGUGUGUGAAGAAGGCCUGCGGGUUGUAAAGCACUUUUAGUAGGGAAGAUAAUGACGUUACCUACAGAAAAGCACCGGCUAACUCCGUG